rnacentral:rRNA from 1 species
CACGUAGGGGGCAAGCGUUGUCCGGAUUUAUUGGGCGUAAAGAGCUCGUAGGCGGCUCAGUAAGUCAGGUGUGAAACCUCCAGGCUCAAUCUGGAGACGCCACCUGAUACUGCUGUGGCUAGAGUCCGGUAGGGGAGCGUGGAAUUCCUGGUGUAGCGGUGAAAUGCGCAGAUAUCAGGAGGAACACCAAUGGCGAAGGCAGCUCGCUGGGACGGUACUGACGCUGAGACGCGAAAGCGUGGGGAGCAAACAGG